rnacentral:lncRNA from 1 species
GGCCACUAGAUGCUGGUGGAAUCAGCAAUGGAGACACUAGCUUCUGACCAGCCUCUUCCAAGAAAUCUACAGACGCCUUACCACUAGGAAUCCUGUAGAAGUGCCCCCUAUUGAUACAACCCUAGAACUUUCCUGGAUACUCCAGAAGAGAACCCAAAAACAUCACCUGAAACAAGGCACAAACUCCAAACAGUAUUAUAGCCACAGCUGGAUCACCUGCCUCGCCCAAUGGAAGCAAUGAUACUACACAGCCACCAGCUCAGUCAGCUCCAGCCAGCUCAUAUGUUUUUACCCAGGUUCCAUUUUCCCAACCUCUUUUGAAGCUAAAACCAUCAACAAAAUUCUGGACAAGACUCUACUGGUUAUAGUCCAAUCUCUG